rnacentral:lncRNA from 1 species
GCUGCAGUAGUAUGACUGGUCCUUUGAUCUGCGGUGCCACGGCUGCUCAUAGUGAAAUUGCUGGAGUUUGACUAUAAAGAAAUAUGACCUCAAUGAAUCCUUGUAGUGGAUGUUGGCGACAGUUGAUCUAUUAUAAGAUCAAGAUACGCAUCUAAAUAGAAUCUAUUGAUCUUAGCGAAAAGAAGUAGUCCUAUGUAAUUUAUGAGACUGAGUUCAAAAGUCCUUAGCCAAGACAGUAUGAUUGAUGAAAAAGAGUUUUCAUAGAUAUUCAUAAAAUAAAUUCAAAUCGAAUAAAUCUUACAUAUGAUUGAUGAUGAGGUUUGAUGAGUUUUUUAUGACCUCCGUCUAGUCAGAACUCAUG